rnacentral:rRNA from 1 species
UACGAAGGGUGCAAGCGUUACUCGGAAUUACUGGGCGUAAAGGGCUCGUAGGCGGCCAACUAAGUCGGACGUGAAAUCCCUCGGCUUAACCGGGGAACUGCGUCCGAUACUGGAUGGCUUGAGUUCGGGAGAGGGAUGCGGAAUUCCAGGUGUAGCGGUGAAAUGCGUAGAUAUCUGGAGGAACACCGGUGGCGAAGGCGGCAUCCUGGACCGACACUGACGCUGAGGAGCGAAAGCCAGGGGAGCAAACGGG